rnacentral:rRNA from 1 species
CCUACGGGAGGCUGCAGUGGGGAAUAUUGCACAAUGGGGGAAACCCUGAUGCAGCGACGCCGCGUGAGUGAAGAAGUAUUUCGGUAUGUAAAGCUCUAUCAGCAGGGAAGAAAAUGACGGUACCUGACUAAGAAGCCCCGGCUAACUACGUGCCAGCAGCCGCGGUACUACGUAGGGGGCAAGCGUUAUCCGGAUUUACUGGGUGUAAAGGGAGCGUAGACGGCCAGACAAGUCAGAAGUGAAAGCCCAGGGAUCAACCCUGGGACUGCUUUUGAAACUGCCGGGCUGGAGUGCAGAAGAGGUAAGCGGAAUUCCUAGUGUAGCGGUGAAAUGCGUAGAUAUUAGGAGGAACACCAGUGGCGAAGGCGGCUUACUGGACUGUAACUGACGUUGAGGCUCGAAAGCGUGGGGAGCAAACAGGAUUAGAUACCCGAGUAGUC